GCCCCAGUGGCCUAACGGAUAAGGCACUGGCCUCCUAGGACAGGAAUUGUGACUUUGAGUCCCAUCUGGGGUA
rfam:Danio rerio chromosome 22, GRCz11 reference primary assembly.